CCCAGGAAGCAGCCCGUGACAGGUGACUAACACCCAGGUUGUGGAAGGUCCCUGCAACGUAUGAGAAUGAGCUGUUAAAAGAAACUUAAUCUUAAGUGAUGCACAAAUAUGGAUUGAAAAGUCUGGAACUUCGUUUUGCAAUUGGAGUGGGUUACCUGCAUAUAUUACAGAAUCAGAAUAUGGAUUGAAAAGUCUGGAACUUCGUGUUGCAAUUGGAGUGGGUUACCUGCAUAUAUUACAGAAUCAGAAUAUGGAUUGAAAAGUCUGGAACUUCGUGUUGCAAUUGGAGUGGGUUACCUGCAUAUAUUACAGAAUGAGAAUAUGGAUUGAAAAGUCUGGAACUUCGUGUUGCAAUUGGAGUGGGUUACCUGCAUAUAUUACAGAAUGAGAAUAUGGAUUGAAAAGUCUGGAACUUCGUGUUGCAAUUGGAGUGGGUUACCUGCAUAUAUUACAGAAUGAGAAUAUGGAUUGAAAAGUCUGGAACUUCGUGUUGCAAUUGGAGUGGGUUACCUGCAUAUAUUACAGAAUGAGAAUAUGGAUUGAAAAGUCUGGAACUUCGUGUUGCAAUUGGAGUGGGUUACCUGCAUAUAUUACAGAAUGAGAAUAUGGAUUGAAAAGUCUGGAACUUCGUGUUGCAAUUGGAGUGGGUUACCUGCAUAUAUUACAGAAUCAGAAUAUGGAUUGAAAAGUCUGGAACUUCGUGUUGCAAUUGGAGUGGGUUACCUGCAUAUAUUACAGAAUCAGAAUAUGGAUUGAAAAGUCUGGAACUUCGUGUUGCAAUUGGAGUGGGUUACCUGCAUAUAUUACAGAAUCAGAAUAUGGAUUGAAAAGUCUGGAACUUCGUGUUGCAAUUGGAGUGGGUUACCUGCAUAUAUUACAGAAUCAGAAUAUGGAUUGAAAAGUCUGGAAAUUCGUCUUGCAAUUGGAGUGGGUUACCUGCAUAUAUUACAGAAUCAGAAUAUGGAUUGAAAAGUCUGGAACUUCGUGUUGCAAUUGGAGUGGGUUACCUGCAUAUAUUACAGAAUCAGGUGCCAAUGCAGAUUAGAAUGGUAUCAACAGUGACACUUCUACUGUAAAGGACUCCAGUGGUGGUUGUUCCUGGUACUCUGGAAUGGUCUUUGCUACUUGAUUCUUCAGUGAUGUUCAGCAACUGGUCUUUGCCAUCUUCAGUGAUGUCAUCUAGGACCAUUGGUUUAACACAACCUGAAAAGAAGUUAUCAAUAUUAGAUAUAAUGUACUAUUAUGUAUACAUUAGUUUAAUAAAUG
rnacentral:lncRNA from 1 species